UGAAAUAUAUUACCGUCUCACCCUGGCAACGAUUUCUGCUGAGAAGGACAUAGUCUUUUAUUUUUCCUCUUUAAGAAACAAUUCUCUGUAAAUGGUGAGAGACGCUGAUCAGGUCCUGUGGAAUACACAAGUCUGCUUCCAAGGCACCACGGUGGAAGAGUAAGAGCGGAAUACCAACAGAUCUAAAAGAGGGCAAAGCUGGAAAUGGUACUCAUCAAUGGGACUUCAGUACUGCAUCUAGUAGGAGCCAUGCAAAGGAAAAUGGUUGAGGUGGAAGAAAGACUUAGGAGAAAUGUGAAUGAAUGCCCCAAAAAGUCAAGAACUCAACAAUGAAGCAUACAACCAUGGUCAUACAACCAUGGUCAAGAAAGAGAAUUAUGUUAUAUAA